AUUUAUGUAGUUUAAAAAAACAUUACAUUUUCACUGUAAAAAUAAUAUUCUAUAUUUAUAAAUA
rnacentral:tRNA from 1 species